rnacentral:rRNA from 1 species
AGUGAACGCUGGCGGCAGGCCUAACACAUGCAAGUCGAGCGGCAGCGCGGGGGCAACCCUGGCGGCGAGCGGCGGACGGGUGAGGAAUUCGUCGGAAUCUGCCUUUUUGUGGGGGAUAACGUAGGGAAACUUACGCUAAUACCGCAUACGUCCUACGGGAGAAAGUGGGGGACCGCAAGGCCUCACGCAGAAAGAUGAGCCGACGACCGAUUAGCUAGUUGGUGGGGUAAAGGCCCACCAAGGCGACGAUCGGUAGCUGGUCUGAGAGGAUGAUCAGCCACACUGGGACUGAUACACGGCCCAGACUCCUACGGGAGGCAGCAGUGGGGAAUAUUGGACAAUGGGCGCAAGCCUGAUCCAGCCAUGCCGCGUGUGUGAAGAAGGCCUUCGGGUUGUAAAGCACUUUUGUCCGGAAAGAAAUCCCUGGAGCUAAUACCUUCGGGGGAUGACGGUACCGGAAGAAUAAGCACCGGCUAACUUCGUG